AAUUCAGCUGAAAAAGUCAUGAACAUAAAAGUUGUAGAACUCAUCAAUACAUACAACUUUUAUUUCGAUCAUUUCUUCAUCCGACAAAGUGAUAGUAACAUUGUUCACAAAAUUUACAUCUCUUUUAUUGUUUAUAAAACCAAAUGAGAGAUAUGUAAAUUUUGUGAACAAUAUUACUAUCAAUUUAUUGAAUGAAGAAAUGGCCAAAAUAAAAGUUAUAGAUCAUGAUGAGUUAUACAACUUUGUUGUUGAUGACUUUUUCAGUUGAAAUC
rnacentral:pre_miRNA from 1 species